UAAUAAGUGUUUUAUGGCACUUUUAAAUCCAUAUCCACCUUGUGUGCAAUGUCAUCUCUUUGCCACGGUUGUAAAGUCGUGGUUCUGAGAUUAUAUAUCUACUCGAUCUUGAACAUGUUUGUCUGAAAAUAUUAUGAAUUACCUAAUUCAAAAUA
rnacentral:misc_RNA from 1 species